GGAAGGCUUUGUGGCUCAGGACUCCUGGCUUCUUUUGGGGAUGUCACUUCCCCAGAAUGAACCCACAAAUCAUCUGUGCAUUGAGUCAAUCGAUCCCUUGGGUGAUGCUGUCAGCACGUACAUGGAGCGGUGAUCAACGUGAGCCAUGAUGCACGACUGAUCCCGCAGACCAGCUGCCAGCUCUGGGUGGUGGAGGAGCAGUCCAUCAGCCACAUCAACGGCGACUUCGACUGCAGGCGGGAGGUGCUGGAGGCCUCGGGCCAGGUCAGCAUUAACUGGCCCCGGGAGUGACCUUGCUGUGGGGAGGCUCCUCGAGGACCUGCCCAUCCCCUCUCAGAGACCUGCCUGCACAGCUUCACGUGCGCCCACACCCAGAGGACUCCGUGUAGAGGGGGCAGGGCCGCAGGCAUGGUUGUGGUUGAACUUUGAAGAUCUAUUUUGGGGGCCUAAUGCAAGACAUGUUAUAUUUUUAGAGCUGUUCUUCUACACCUGCUGCUUUCCCAGGGGAGAGAGACUUAAUUUAUAUGAAUGGGAGGGAGGGGGUUGUACUGGAACGGUCUGUUUUAGGCAGGAGUGAGGGCUGUCCUUGUCCCAUUGCUGGGUUCCCUGCCCCCAGUCUGGAGAAUGACUUGAGCCUUGUUUUGCUUCCACCCAAGAAGAUUAUAUUAAAAUAUAAUAAAGGAAAA